GACGAACGCUGGCGGCGUGCUUAACACAUGCAAGUCGAGCGGUAAGGCCCUUUCGGGGGUACACGAGCGGCGAACGGGUGAGUAACACGUGGGUGACCUGCCCUCAGCUCUGGGAUAAGCCUGGGAAACCGGGUCUAAUACUGGAUAUGACUCCAUGACGCAUGUUGUGGGGUGAAAGCCUUGUGCGGCUGAGGAUGGGCCCGCGGCCUAUCAGCUUGUUGGUGGGGUGAUGGCCUACCAAGGCGACGACGGGUAGCCGGCCUGAGAGGGCGACCGGCCACACUGGACUGAGACACGGCCCAGACUCCUACGGGAGGCAGCAGU
rnacentral:rRNA from 1 species